rnacentral:siRNA from 1 species
UUAACCAUGUAAAAUGUCUUUAA